GCCAGUUUGCGGUUUUAGUUCGAAAGCAAUAUAAAGCCAGUCUGCUAGCCAGGAGCAUUAUUUAUGUUAGUUAUAUAACCAGCGGAGAUAUCGAGCAGUAAGAGCGGAUAAUAUUUACCAUUAUGGACAGAAUAAAAGACCGGAUUAAGGCAAAUAACGACAGAAAUCUACAGUUUAAAAGAAGUUGAAGAUGUUUAUUGAGGACUUUGAGGACAGGCUUUUAACAUCAGCACCUUUCACCUCAGUCUCGUCAUCCAGGUCCGACCCAGAUCUGUCUCAGGAUCUCCUUUAGCCCUGACCCCCACCACAUCUGACUCCAGGAGCGAGAGAGCAUUAGGCAUAUCGAUGGGUGGAAACGAAGGAGGAGGACGUGGGACAGACGGAUGGAGUCUCUUCGGGACGCGUCCCAGUGUGCAGAAAUCCCCGACCGACCCUGGGUCCGAUUCCAACACCUCGGGAGGUUUCAGUCUUCAGUCAUACUUUGGACUUCAGAAGUCCACAACUGUUGACGGCAUCAAGACCCAAGUGAACGUUGCCGUUGAAGACCACGCCAACUUCAAGUCUCCUAAAGAGUCCAUGACCGGAGCGGAGGGCAAAAAGGCAGCAACGCAUAAACUCCAACCUCGCGACAUGAACAUUCUCACUCCGUCGGGUUUCUGACAUCGGCGUCCGCGUUCUGUCUUUUUGUUCCCUUCCCUCCGCUCAGGUCGCUCACACACACUCCGAACACAGGCCAAGUUCCUCCAGCCAGAUGUUUGUGAAACCGUAUAUAUCUAACUUUAGUGCCAAACGUCUUUCCACACUCAGACAGGCAAUAUAUGUCCAUCAAUAUGUCAUUGUGCAGCGUCACGUGAUAACGGAUGACAUGAAUCCAUAGACUACGGCGUGAUCAUUUAACUUUUGAUUUCAGUUUAUCGCUCUCUAUUAAACAGGGUAUGACACCACAAGAAACCUGCUUUAACAGCAACUCUUCUGCUUUUUAGAGCAUUUCCCAUAGAACCUUAUUUUUGUCUUAGUGUAAUUUUUGUCUUUUGUUAAAAGGCAAGAUCCUGAUUUUAAUUCUUCUGACCAAACGUGACCACACAGUCAAUGCGUCUUUAUCACGUUCCUAAGACUAGACGAAUAAACGAGGAUUUUUCCAGCAUCCGUCGUCUUCUGCGGGAAUUUUUUUUUGUUUAUGUAAAUUAUAAAAGAUCUAGAGCAGCUGACAUGGCUAUGCCUCCUCAGACAAGCACUUAAUAAUUAAAGUAAAGUUUAAAUAUCGUAUAAGAGGAGAGUACCAUGAAGAUGUACUGUGCAAAAGUCAUAGGCCCUUUUUUGUGUAAAUAAGUUUUUUAUUUAACUACUUAUUAAACAUAAUUCCAACAAAAUAAAUGUUAUCUAGCAGGAAAAUAUCUCCAGGCCAUAAAAGACAGCGGCAUAUUAUGUGAAGGCACAUCCUCGCUAUAAAGCAGAUUUUUUUUUGCAUGUGCCUAAGACUUCUGCACAGCGUUUGCAGUAAUGUAGAUAUCUUAAUUAUUUAUCCACAGAUCACUUACUUAAAAAAGAAAAAUUAAAAAACAUUUAAAUUACAUAACAAUCCAUUGUCCUUUUGCGCACCCCACUCUGUACCUUGUCUCUGUUUUGUCUCCAUUCAGAUUGUUUUCUUUUUUCUUUCUUUAAAAAAAAAAAAGUUUUAUGAAACCGUGAUUAUUUUAGACACGGCCCAGGACAGCCACCGUACUGGAUCAUGGUCACACCAGCCCCGCCAUCGAAGUCCUCAGACCGUUUUCCGUGCUGAUAAAGCAGGUUUAAAGUGUCACAGCGCUCAUGUCUGUGAAUAGCGAGCGAAGCAUGAGAUGAUGAGAUUGAGGUGUUUGUGUCCAUAAGCAAUAGCAUUUCACAGGAUACGACUUGUUUGUUUUUGUUUUUCUAGACACUCAGUGAACGCAAUCCAUUUUCUCUCAUAUCUAGUACUGUGCAAAAGUCUUGUGCAUCUAGUAUGUGGUUGUUGUUGUUUUUUUUUGUACAAACUUUUGUUAUAAAUGUUUAUGACUUCAUUAUUAAGUCAAAAAGUAAAAAAAAUUAAAAUCAGAUUUCCAAAUAUUAGUAUUUCAGCAAAAAAAAAAAAAAAAAAAAGACAGGCAAAUAUCUGUACACCAGAAGAAAAAGCACAUAUUAUGACCACUUUUCAGGGAAAAAAAAAAGAAAAAGGAAGCAGGUGGGACAAAGUCAUUAGAAGAACUGUGGCUUGUUGAGUGUAGGAGCACACUUUUUUUUUUCCUGAAGACGUCGAUGCUCUGCAGCAGUUAUUUGCAUGUGUGUAAGACUUUUGCACAGAACUGUAUUUUUCACACCUACUGCUUUUUGUAGUGAUGGAUUUUUAUGUAGUGAUGGAUACUUUGUUUUUUUUUACCUUGUAUGUAUUACCAGUGAAAUGUUUUUUUCCCAUUCCAGUUAACACGCACAUUAACACUUCACGUUAUGUUUUGUAUAAAGAUUUAUCUGCCAUGCAGCUGUUCAGUUUGAGUCUGAUGCCUCGAAUAAAACCUUAAGUGAAGUAACAGUCA